UGGGGAAUAUUGCACAAUGGGCGCAAGCCUGAUGCAGCCAUGCCGCGUGUAUGAAGAAGGCCUUCGGGUUGUAAAGUACUUUCAGCGGGGAGGAAGGGAGUAAAGUUAAUACCUUUGCUCAUUGACGUUACCCGCAGAAGAAGCACCGGCUAACUCCGUGCCAGCAGCCGCGGUAAUACGGAGGGUGCAAGCGUUAAUCGGAAUUACUGGGCGUAAAGCGCACGCAGGCGGUUUGUUAAGUCAGAUGUGAAAUCCUCGGGCUCAACCUGGGAACUGCAUCUGAUACUGGCAAGCUUGAGUCUCGUAGAGGGGGGUAGAAUUCCAGGUGUAGCGGUGAAAUGCGUAGAGAUCUGGAGGAAUACCGGUGGCGAAGGCAGCCCCCUGGACGAAGACUGACGCUCAGGUGCGAAAGCGUGGGGAGCAAACAGG
rnacentral:rRNA from 1 species